rnacentral:lncRNA from 1 species
UUUCCCUUAUCGCACUGGCCUUCUUAUCGUUAUUUAUAGUACACACAAUUGGACAAAAGUGUACUACAGUGGCUGGCACUGUGGCGGAAGCUAUUUAUGAUCUGAAUUGGUAUGAUGCAGAUAUUUCAACACGUAGAGACAUUUUAAACUUGUUGUGCUUAACCCAAAAGGUAAUAGUUCUAAAAUUACCGUUAUUCGGUGAAUUGUCUCAUGCAUCAGCGGCAAAAGAAUACAAGGCUGUUUAUGUUUUCUACAAUUGGAUAUUGACAAUCACGAAGAAAAGAUACAUUUAAAUAUUAUUACACUAUGGAUUUAUAGACUUUCUUUUAGACUUUAUUAGACUUAAUAACUCAUAAAUAACUCAA